UGAAGGCUGAAAUUCGCCUUCAUGAAGUCGGAAUUGCUAGUAAUGGCAGGUCAGCAUACUGCCGUGAAUACGUUCUCGGGCCUUGUACACACCGCCCGUCACACCAUGAGAGUUGGAGAUACCCGAAGCCUAUGAGCUAACUUUUAGAGGCAGUAGUCGAAGGUAGAAUCAAUGAUUGGGGGUGAAGUCGUAACAAGGUAAC
rnacentral:rRNA from 1 species